UGGGCCCAGGGGGAAUGACCUGUACUGCAAACCUCCACCACUCAGUUUUCUGAAAGACUGACAGACAGAUUCCGAAAAUGGCGUCCUUCAGAAUUCUGUCAAAAUCAGAGCAAUUUCAUAGAAAUAUAUCUUCAGUGAGAAGACAAAAAGGAAUACUCUCUAUGCAGUAUGGCAAGUGUGUUCCUCACCCUCGGGUGUGUGGCUGUUAUUUCUCCACCUCCUGCCCCAGGGAUGCCCGUUUCUUUACCGACCCCACAGAGGCAGUGAAAGACAUCCCAGAUGGCUCCACUCUACUGGUGGGAGGGUUUGGUUUAUGUGGAAUACCCGAGAAUCUGAUUGGGAGUUUAUUGAAGACUGGAGUGAAAGGUAUCACAGCAGUCAGCAACAACGCUGGCGUGGAUCAUUUUGGUCUUGGUCUGCUGCUGAGGACCAAGCAGAUCAAGCGAAUGAUUUCCUCCUACGUUGGGGAGAAUGCAGAGUUUGAGAGGCAGUACCUUUCAGGGGAACUGGAGGUGGAGCUAACGCCUCAGGGUACCCUGGCAGAGAGGGUACGUGCCGGCGGUGCUGGGGUCCCUGCCUUCUUCACGCCCACUGGGUAUGGCACACUGAUCCAGGAGGGAGGCUCACCCAUCAAAUACAACACAGACGGCAGUGUGGCCAUCGCUAGCAAGAAGAGAGAGGUGAGGGAGUUCAAUGGCAUCCACUAUGUCAUGGAGAGAGCCAUCACAGGGGACUUUGCUCUGAUCAAGGCCUGGAAAGCUGAUCGAGCCGGUAACAUUGUGUUCAGAAAAACAGCACGGAACUUCAACCAGCCCAUGUGUAAAGCAGCUAAAGUCACUGUAGUGGAGGUAGAAGAGAUUGUAGAUGUGGGGACCUUUGCUCCUGAAGAUAUCCAUGUCCCCAGCAUCUAUGUUGACAGGAUUGUGAAGGGGGCAGUCUAUGAGAAGAGGAUAGAGAAGAGAACGGUCCAGAAAGGUUCUAUGGAGACACCCAAACCCAAGAGGAAGGCAGACCUGCUCCGAGAGAGGAUCAUCAGGAGGGCAGCACUGGAGUUCCAGGAUGGGAUGUAUGCAAACCUUGGUAUUGGGAUCCCCAUGCUGGCCAGCAACUUCAUCAGCUCUGACAUCACUGUGCACCUACAGAGUGAGAAUGGACUUCUGGGCCUGGGUCCUUAUCCCACCGAAAGUGAGGUAGACCCAGACCUUAUCAAUGCAGGUAAAGAGGUUGUAACUGUGGUUCCUGGAGCUGCGUUUUUCUCCAGUGAUGAAUCAUUUGCUAUGAUCAGGGGUGGCCACAUUGACCUGACCAUGUUGGGGGCCAUGCAGGUGUCUAAGUAUGGGGACCUGGCCAACUGGAUGAUCCCGGGAAAGAUGGUGAAAGGAAUGGGAGGGGCUAUGGACCUAGUGGCAAGUGCAGGAACCAAAGUGGUGGUGACCAUGGAGCAUUCUGCUAAGGGGGACAAACACAAAAUCCUGGAGAGUUGUACUCUCCCACUGACAGGGAAGCAGUGUGUGGAUAGGAUCAUCACUGAAAAGGCAGUUUUUGAUGUUGACGAGGCCAGCGGCCUCACUCUCAUAGAGAUCUGGGAGGGGCUGACUACUGAUGACAUCAGAGCGUGCACUGGCACAGACUUUGCUGUGUCCCCAAAUCUAAGACCAAUGCAGCAGAUCUGAACCCAGUGACUCCAAACCUUUCUGCAGUGCACAGAAGCCUUCUUUUAACAUUCCACAUGACCAUAGUGCUACAAAUUCAUGUACACAACGCAACACUGGGAGAGAGUUAUAAAUAGACCUGCGGACUUGAAGCAACUCCAGAUGUCGUGGGGGUCGGUUCCGGUACCUGUUGGACUGGGAGGGGUAUGGUCUGGUGUUGGGUUCCAGUGGACGACAUUCUUGAGCCCAACAUCAUCCGAGAUUUCCAUCUGGACCGGCACGUUUCUCAUCCGUCGUCGUUCUGCUGCUGGAGCCGGGGGUACUGUCACGUCCACUCCCGAUCCCCCUCUUUGGCACUCGACAUCGCCGGUUUACUAACCGCCGGUCCUGCCAACCCAUCCUUAUGCACAUCUGCACCUUAUUAGGCACACCUGGACUUCAUCUCCAUGAUUACUUCCUCUUUAUAUAGCACUCUAUUGUUAUCUCCCGCCAGGCAAAUAUUGUUUGCUUCCGUGCUUAGACGCUAUUCUAGUUUUGUAUAGUUCAAUGUUCUUAGUCAUUAAACUCUAACUGCACUUGC